AUGCUAUCCACUUAACAAAAACCGCCUUGAGUCCCCCUCUUACGUUUCUUUUCCUCUUCUCUCUCACCUUGCAUAAACAAAAGCAAUCUAAUUCUCUUUCUUCACAGAUGUGAACUAUCAAUUGGAAUACUUCUUUUUCUUCAGACUUCAAUCAUUAAAUUGGGCUCUGCUAUGGCAAUAAGUAUCAAAACCAGGGACUCAGGUCGGUUUGAUGAGUCUUUUUUGUGAAAGAUUUGUUGGGUUGUUUGUGAUUGUUUGGUUCACUGUUGAAUCCCAAGAAACACAGAGAGAGAUGGGUUGAGACAGGUUUGCUUCCCAGAAGGAGAGUACAAUACUUUUUUUUUUGUGGACUAGCCUUUUUGCACGCACAUACGCACAUGGAAGAGCCGCGCUCAAGCGUGCGAAUUAUGUUUUUGACCGUGGUAUGGUUCGCAUGUGUAUCACAUCAUUCAUUUCUGUAUGGGGUAAGAGUCACGUAAUAUGCAAUGUUUUAUAUAUAUACUUUCUUUUAUACGUAAUAUGCAUGUUCUUAUAUAUAUCACAUCAUUCAUUUCUGAAUCGUUCAAAAAGUAUUCACAUCAUUCAUCAUGACAAUGUUUUAUAAUUUCUGUAUAUGGUAAGAGUUACGUAAUAUGCAACACAGAAGUUAUAUUACACUCAUGAGUAACAUUUCAAACAUGCGUAACAGGAGAGGACAAUACGCACGUGCAUCGCACGUGCAGGAAGGCUAGUUUUAGUUAAGAUGGUAUAGAAGUAAUUUUUUUUGUUGCUCUUUUUUUUCAAUUUUCUCUGUCCACCACACUCGUAUUCAUCUUUUCCACAGUACUCACAAUCAUGAUUAAGCUUUAAACUUGACCUUUCUUGAUCGAAAAUAGAAUUAAAUAAAAAAAAGUAAAUGAAUAUACUUUUUUUUUAUGAUUGAACUAAAAUACCUUCAAGUUUAAUGGUAUAUAACGACAAAUUUGAUGACAAUGAUUAAAGUGGAUUGUAAUGUUUAAUUUGAGUGACUAAAAUAAUAUAUUUGAAAAAUUAGUGACCAUAAUGUGGAAUAAAUUAUAACCGUAACUCGACCAUUUAUAUAAUUCUUUCUUUGUUAGUAAAUUAAAAACAAUCAUCCUUGUUGGUCAGCUAAUGUAUUUAAUUAUUCUAGUAUUCUCAUCCUUUUCUUUAAUUUGUGCCGUCCUAUGUAGUAUUGUAAUGUGCCUGCGGCCUACAUGCCAGCUAAGUUAGACCAGAAGAUCAUAAUGAAAGAUCAUGGUUUUUCUUCUUUUGGUAAAAAAAAAAAAAAAAAAAGGAAUUGCAAAAGCAUAUAUCUAGGUUUAUUCUAAUGAACCAUCAGCAAUAGGCCAAUAUCAUGCAAGAACGUUGGCUACAGAGAUCAGUAGUCUGGGUCCCUGGGAUGAGAGUACUGGUGGCUGCUGUCAAUUUAUCGAAUCAAUAAUUUUUGUGGCUACAAAUAUAUCGAUAAGAAUAGACUUUUCCCAUGGCUGCUCAUCGAUAAAACGGAAAGUGAUCAACGACGGCUCGUGGUUGAUAUCAUCUCAAUUCUCAGAGGUAUCCAAAAAUUUAUAAAUAGAUGACAUGUUUCUAUCUGGUGCAUACUAACGUUAACGAAAAAUAACAAAAGCUUUUUCUUUUUCUUUAGGGCCCGUUUGGAUAUAGGGAUUUGAGAGAGUGGAUUUGGAUUUGGAACCCACAAAUUCAAAUCAUCUUGUUUGGCUGUCUAUUUUUGUGAGUAUUUGGAUUUCUCCAAAAUCAGUCCUGAGAUAUUAGAUAGCAAAGUUUGAUGAUUUCAAAUAACUAGGGUCCCCUAAUUAUUUGAAAUCACCACGUCUCCGACUCUCGUGAAAAAACACAGAUCUCGUCGUCUCUCUCUCUCUCUCUCUCUCUCUCUCUCUCUCUCUCUCUCUCUCUCUCUCUCUCUCUCUCUCUCUCUCUCUCUCUCUCUCUCUCUCAAUUAACACACGAGCUGCCUCUGGUCUAACUCGAGCCAAGGUCUUACCCUUCGACCGAGCCCCCUCAGAAGCCAAACUUUGCGGCGGAGCCAUCCCUCUCUGCAUGCUCGAUGAGAUCGAUACCCAGGCCAACCUCGCCGUCGACUUCGGAAAAACCCUCUUCCCCGACGACUUCAUCGCCAUGCUCCACUGCGAGGUCCUAGACUCCUUCCUCUGACCACACCCAGUCCUGCGGCGCCUCCCUCAUCUCCGGCCUAGUCAACCGCCUCGAGAUCUCUGCCUUUGUCUCCUCCAACGCGCCCUACAUCGUCCACCACACCAAGGACAACGCGCGCCACACACUGGCCUCCUGGCCAUGAAUCAAACUCACAGACAAAAUGGCCUACUACGAAGACCUCGCCGGAAUGUUCUUGGACGAGUUGGAUGCUGUGUUCUAGUAUUGCAAUUUCAAAUCUUCACAUAUCUUUUUCAUUCCAAACAAUAAGAUUUUAAAUACUCAUAUUUCAA